GAUGAAGAACGCAGCGAAAUGCGAUAAGUAAUGUGAAUUGCAGAAUUCAGUGAAUCAUCGAAUCUUUGAACGCACAUUGCGCCCGCCAGUAUUCUGGCGGGCAUGCCUGUUCGAGCGUCAUUUCAACCAUCAAGCCCUGCUUGCGUUGGGGUCCUGCGGCUGCCCGCAGGCCCUGAAAACCAGUGGCGGGCUCGCUAGUCACACCGAGCGCAGUAAUACAUCUCGCUUUGGGCGUGCGGCGGGUUCUUGCCGUUAAACACCCCCUUUUUACCAAGGUUGACCUCGGAUCAGGUAGGAAUACCUGCUGAACUUAAGCAUAUCAAUAAGCGGAGGA
rnacentral:misc_RNA from 1 species